ACAACUAGGAUGUUGGCUUAGAAGCAGCCAUCAUUUAAAGAGUGCGUAAUAGCUCACUAGUCGAGUGACACUGCGCCGAAAAUGUACCGGGGCUAAACAUAUUACCGAAGCUGUGGAUUGUCCUUUGGACAAUGGUAGGAGAGCGUUCUAAGGGCGUUGAAGCAUGAUCGUAAGGACAUGUGGAGCGCUUAGAAGUGAGAAUGCCGGUGUGAGUAGCGAAAGACGGGUGAGAAUCCCGUCCACCGAUUGACUAAGGUUUCCAGAGGAAGGCUCGUCCGCUCUGGGUUAGUCGGGUCCUAAGCUGAGGCCGACAGGCGUAGGCGAUGGAUAACAGGUUGAUAUUCCUGUACCACCUAUAAUCGUUUUAAUCGAUGGGGGGACGCAGUAGGAUAGGCGAAGCGUGCGAUUGGAUUGCACGUCUAAGCAGUAAGGCUGAGUAUUAGGCAAAUCCGGUACUCGUUAAGGCUGAGCUGUGAUGGGGAGAAGACAUUGUGUCUUCGAGUCGUUGAUUUCACACUGCCGAGAAAAGCCUCUAGAUAGAAAAUAGGUGCCCGUACCGCAAACCGACACAGGUAGUCAAGAUGAGAAUUCUAAGGUGAGCGAGCGAACUCUCGUUAAGGAACUCGGCAAAAUGACCCCGUAACUUCGGGAGAAGGGGUGCUCUUUAGGGUUAACGCCCAGAAGAGCCGCAGUGAAUAGGCCCAAGCGACUGUUUAUCAAAAACACAGGUCUCUGCUAAACCGUAAGGUGAUGUAUAGGGGCUGACGCCUGCCCGGUGCUGGAAGGUUAAGAGGAGUGGUUAGCUUCUGCGAAGCUACGAAUCGAAGCCCCAGUAAACGGCGGCCGUAAC
rnacentral:rRNA from 1 species